CCUGUAGCUCGUGGUUACGGAAGAGUUGAAGUGCCCCCAAACUGCUUGUUCCAUCCAGUUCCAGCGGUAGUGUUAGAGCGGGAGCAGCGGGAGUAGCGGGAGUAGUGGUGUUUGUGACAGCAAUCACAGCAUUGGCAGCGCUGCUCCACGAAGAACCACCACUCGACGUACUUUGGUUCCACUCGUUGGUUGUUCCAUCCAACCAGCGCUCUGCGGUUUCCAAAUCUGCUGCGAGCCAGCACCGCUUCUCCAGCGAUUGCGGCUGCUGGCCGUUGCCUCCGGCGGCAUUUUGGUUGUUCCACUGAGAAUCCCGCCUGAUCCAGCAUCGCUAUAUCCCGGCCCUGCCCGAGCUGAGUGGAAGAUCAACGCAGACCUGCAUUGCUGCUGCUGCUGC
rnacentral:lncRNA from 1 species